GGCCCCUCANGNNNNNCUCCGCCUCCUCCUUAAACGGAUGCGGGUAGAAGCGUGGCAGGAGCUCGACCCUCUGCGGGCGCACGGACAGACUCCGUGGCCCGGCAGCUGGCGGUCGUCUUCGUUGGUCGCGCGGGGCCCGUCGGAGCGCUGGCGGUUGGCGGCGAGUAGAUCGGUCACCCACCCGACCCGUCUUGAAACACGGACCAAGGAGUCUAACAUGUGUGCGAGUCAAUGGGUCUCGAAUAAGCCCAGAGGCGCAAUGAAAGCAAAGGCACGGUGGACACCGUGCCGUGUUGGGAUCCCUGCCCCUUCUGCGGGCGGGGCGCACCAACGACCCGUCCUGUUCCACCUGUGGAUUGGGCGGAGUCCGAGCAUACACGUUGGGACCCGAAAGAUGGUGAACUAUGCCCGGGCAGGACGAGGCCAGAGGAAACUCUGGUGG
rnacentral:rRNA from 1 species